rnacentral:rRNA from 1 species
GACGAACGCUGGCGGCGUGCUUAACACAUGCAAGUCGAACGGAAAGGCCCUGCUUUUGUGGGGUGCUCGAGUGGCGAACGGGUGAGUAACACGUGAGUAACCUGCCCUUGACUUUGGGAUAACUUCAGGAAACUGGGGCUAAUACCGGAUAGGAGCUCCUGCUGCAUGGUGGGGGUUGGAAAGUUUCGGCGGUUGGGGAUGGACUCGCGGCUUAUCAGCUUGUUGGUGGGGUAGUGGCUUACCAAGGCUUUGACGGGUAGCCGGCCUGAGAGGGUGACCGGCCACAUUGGGACUGAGAUACGGACCAGACUCCUACGGGAGGCAGCAGUGGGGAAUAUUGCACAAUGGGCGGAAGCCUGAUGCAGAAACGCCGCGUGCGGGAUGAAGGCCUUCGGGUUGUAAACCGCUUUCGCCUGUGACGAAGCGUGAGUGACGGUAAUGGGUAAAGAAGCACCGGCUAACUACGUG